GAUGAACGCUGGCGGCGUGCUUAACACAUGCAAGUCGAACGAUUAAAGCCCCUUCGGGGGUGUAUAGAGUGGCGAACGGGUGAGUAACACGUGGGCAACCUGCCCUGCGCUUUGGGAUAACUCAGGGAAACUUGAGCUAAUACCGGAUACUCCUUGGGGAUCGCAUGGUCCCCUUGGGAAAGAUUUAUCGCCGAUAGAUGGGCCCGCGUCGGAUUAGCUAGUUGGUGAGGUAAUGGCUCACCAAGGCUACGAUCCGUAGCUGGUCUGAGAGGAUGAUCAGCCACACUGGGACUGAGACACGGCCCAGACUCCUACGGGAGGCAGCAGUGGGGAAUAUUGGACAAUGGGCGCAAGCCUGAUCCAGCCAUGCCGCGUGAGUGAAGAAGGCCUUAGGGUUGUAAAGCUCUUUUAGUGGGGAUGAUAAUGACGGUACCCACAGAAUAAGCCCCGGCUAACUUCGUGCCAGCCGCCGCCGUAACAC
rnacentral:rRNA from 1 species